rnacentral:lncRNA from 1 species
GGAGUUUUUUCCUGCCUUGCCCUACUAUUGAAACUUUUUAUCCAAUAUACCCCGGUCUAAAAAUUAUUUCCCAAUCUACCCCCUUUUUCAGUUAGGGCUCGUCACUUGAAGUGACGAGGGGAUCGUCACUUGAAGUGACGAGGGGAUGAAUAAUGAUUUUACGCAUUGUGGGCUCGUCACUUGAAGUGACGAGGACAUGAAGGAAUGAUUUUU